rnacentral:rRNA from 1 species
GAUGAACGCUGGCGGCGUGCUUAACACAUGCAAGUCGAGCGGGAAACUUCGGUUUCCAGCGGCGGACGGGUGAGUAACACGUGGGCAACCUGCCUCACAAUGAGGGAUAGCCUUCCGAAAGGAAGAUUAAUACCUCAUAAUACAAGAGAAACGCAUGUUUCUCUUGCCAAAGAAUUUCGUUGUGAGAUGGGCCCGCGGCGCAUUAGCUUGUUGGUGAGGUAACGGCUCACCAAGGCUUCGAUGCGUAGCCGACCUGAGAGGGUGAUCGGCCACAUUGGAACUGAGACACGGUCCAGACUCCUACGGGAGGCAGCAGUGGGGAAUAUUGCACAAUGGAGGAAACUCUGAUGCAGCAACGCCGCGUGAGUGAUGAAGGUCUUCGGAUUGUAAAGCUCUGUCUUCUGGGACGAUAAUGACGGUACCAGAGGAGGAAGCCACGGCUAACUACGUGCCAGCCGCCGCUGUAA